rnacentral:rRNA from 1 species
AUACGGAGGGUGCGAGCGUUAAUCGGAAUUACUGGGCGUAAAGCGUACGUAGGCGGUUGGUUAAGUUAGAUGUGAAAGCCCCGGGCUUAACCUGGGAACUGCAUUUAAAACUGGCGAACUAGAGUUGAGUAGAGGGGAGUGGAAUUUCAGGUGUAGCGGUGAAAUGCGUAGAUAUCGGGAGGAACAUCAGUGGCGAAGGCGGCUACCUGGACCAACACUGACACUGAGGUACGAAAGCGUGGGGAGCAAACAGGAUUAGAUACCCCAGUAGUCC